UGGUUUCCAUCAUUUGAUCUUAUUUUAUUGGUAUUCAUCAGCAAAUAAAAUUUUAUUGUUGAUUUUGGAUGCAUUACAACACACUUUUUGGUAGUGGUUGCACAAUGUUGAUCAUUUAUUAACUAUACUAAAUACUGCAACCUCUCAAUUGCUGAAUUUUACAUGGGUAUUUUCUUUGUGAUGAUGGGUGGCUCCUCUCUCUGAAUACAUAAAAUGGUCCAUUCCAUCCAUGGUUUUCAUAUUCCUUUGUUAUUCUACCUACUGCUUUAAAAUACAUUCAAAUAAAAAGAUAUAAGUUCCGUGCAGUGAAAUACGCUCAAGGGUGUCGGGUCUAGAGUAAAGACCAGAACCAGCGGACCUCCAAAGCCUUGUUUCUCUGUGAACUGGUUUGGUGUUACCUUUGGCCGUGUUUCUACUCUUUCACUGUUGACAAGUUUCAUUCACCACCUUUCUCCCGACCCCUUUUCCUUAAGGUCCUAUUGUUAAAGUCACAUUGGCUCUGGUCUUAAUCAAUUGGUUGUGACAUUGGGUCCCAGAAAUAAGCUGCUAUCUCACUAGCUGCUUGGUGUGUCCGAAACUUGUAUUUUGGUGUCACAGAACCAUGGAGAGAACAUUUUACUGCGACUUCCCAUCUAGUACCAUUACUUCCCUGC
rnacentral:lncRNA from 1 species